AGUGAACGCUGGCGGUAGGCCUAACACAUGCAAGUCGAACGGCAGCACAGUAAGAGCUUGCUCUUACGGGUGGCGAGUGGCGGACGGGUGAGGAAUACAUCGGAAUCUACUUUUUCGUGGGGGAUAACGUAGGGAAACUUACGCUAAUACCGCAUACGACCUACGGGUGAAAGCAGGGGAUCUUCGGACCUUGCGCGAUUGAAUGAGCCGAUGUCGGAUUAGCUAGUUGGCGGGGUAAAGGCCCACCAAGGCGACGAUCCGUAGCUGGUCUGAGAGGAUGAUUCGCCACACUGGAACUGAGACACGGUCCCGACUCCUAAGGGAGGGAGGAGGGGGGAAUAUUGGACAAUGGGCGCAAGCCUGAUCCAGCCAUACCGCGUGGGUGAAGAAGGCCUUCGGGUUGUAAAGCCCUUUUGUUGGGAAAGAAAAGCAGCAGGUUAAUACCCCGCUGUUCUGACGGUACCCAAAGAAUAAGCACCGGCUAACUUCGUG
rnacentral:rRNA from 1 species